rnacentral:rRNA from 1 species
GACGAACGCUGGCGGCGUGCCUAAUACAUGCAAGUCGAACGAGUGGCGAACGGGUGAGUAAUACGUGGGUAACCUUCCCUCUUUUUGGGAUAAGCCUUUGAAAAGGGGUCUAAUACCGAAUAACGGGGGAUGGGCUCGCGGCCUAUCAGCUUGUUGGUGGGGUGAUGGCCUACCAAGGCGGUGUCGGGUAGCAGGCCUGAGAGGGUGACCGGCAAUGAUGGGACUGAGAUACUGCCAAGACUACUACGGGAGGCAGCAGUUGGGGAUGUUGAACAAGGCGCGAAAGCCUGAUGCAGGUACGCCGCGUAGGGGAUGGAGGCUUUCGGGUUGUAAACCUCUUUCGAUGUCGAACGGUUAGGUGGAGAAGAAGCGCCGGCUAACUACGUGCCAGCAGCCGCGGUAAUUC